rnacentral:tRNA from 1 species
GGCAAGAUGGCCGAGCGGUCUAAGGCGCUAGGGUCAGGUCAUCUGCUCAUACAUGUUCUCACGAGCAUUCCUAGUCAUUAAUUUGGCGUGGGUUCGAAUCCCACUCUUGUCA